GGAGUUGUGGCUCGGUGGUAGAGCAUUUACCUAGCAUGUGUGAGGCCCUGGGUUCAAUUCUCAGCACCA
rnacentral:tRNA from 1 species